AGAGUGAACGCUGGCGGUAGGCCUAACACAUGCAAGUCGAACGGCAGCACAGUAGGAGCUUGCUCUUACGGGUGGCGAGUGGCGGACGGGUGAGGAAUACAUCGGAAUCUACCUUUUGGUGGGGGAUAACGUAGGGAAACUUACGCUAAUACCGCAUACGCCCUUCGGGGGAAAGCCGGGGACCAGCAAUGGCCUGGCGCUGAUAGAUGAGCCGAUGUCGGAUUAGCUAGUUGGUGAGGUAAUGGCUCGACCAAGGCGACGACUCCGUAGCUGGUCUGAGGAGGAUGAUCAGCCACACUGGAACUGACGACACGGUCCAGACCU
rnacentral:rRNA from 1 species